AUCAAAAACAUGUCCUUUUGGGGUUUUAUUUAAGGUCUGACCUGCCCAAUGANUUUUUAAUGGCCCGGUAUAUNAACUGUGCUAAGGUAGCAUAAUCAUUUGUCNNUUUAAUUGAGGGCUUGUAUGAAGGGUUGGACGAGGCAUAUUCUUUCUUUAUCUUAUNUUUUGAAUUNUUCUUUUCAGUCAAAAGACUGGGAUUUUUUUAUGGGACGAGAAGACCCUAUAGAUCUUUAUAAGUUUUUAGUUAUUNGAUUUUUAGGUUAUUAUNAAUUUAAUUCUGAUNAUUNAUUUGGUUGGGGUGACUGCAGGGAAGGUAUAACUUCUGNUUUUAUUGGUUCAUAAAUUAGUGUUUAAAUGAUCCACUUAUAGUGAUUAUAAGAUUAAGUUACCUUAGGGAUAACAGCGUAAUNUUUUCGGAGAGUUCAUAUUGAUGAAGGAGUUUGCGACCUCGAUGUUGGAUUAAAAUAAGUGUUGGGUGUAGCAGUUCAAUAACUGGGUCUGUUCGACC
rnacentral:rRNA from 1 species